GGAGCCGUAGCGAAAGCGAGUUUUAACUGAGCGUUCAGUUACUUGACGUAGACCCGAAACCGGGCGACCUACCCAUGAGCAGGAUGAAGCGAAAGUAAAAUUUCGUGGAGGUCCGAACCCACGAGCGUUGAAAAGCUCGGGGAUGACUUGUGGGUAGCGGUGAAAUUCCAAUCGAGCCCGGAGAUAGCUGGUUCUCCCCGAAAUAGCUUUAGGGCUAGCCUCAAGGUGAGAGAUACGGAGGUAGAGCACUGAAUGUCCUAGGGGGUAUUGCACCUACCGAAGACUAUCAAACUCCGAAUGCCGUCAUCUUAUACUUGGGAGUCAGACUGUGGGUGAUAAGAUUCAUAGUCGAAAGGGCAACAGCCCAGAUCGUCAGCUAAGGUCCCUAAAUGUAAGUUAAGUGGUAAAGGAUGUGGGAUUGCACAGACAACCAGGAUGUUGGCUUAGAAGCAGCCACUCAUUCAAAGAGUGCGUAAUAGCUCACUGGUCGAGUGAUCCUGCGCCGAAGAUUUCCGGGGCUAAAACUUACUACCGAAGCUACGGCAUCAGUAAUGAUGGGUAGGGGAGCUUCCCAUACGGGUUGAAGCAUGACCGUAAGGACAUGGGGACAGUAUGGGAGUGAGAAUGUUGGCAUGAGUAGCGAGAUGUGGGUGGGAAUCCCACAGGCCGUAAACCCAAGGUUUCCAGGGGAAGGUUCGUCCACCCUGGGUUAGUCGGGACCUAAGCUGAGGCCGAAAGGCGUAGGUGAUGGACAACAGGUUGAUAUUCCUGUACUACCGAUAACCGUUUGAGAGAAGGGAUGACACAGUAGGAUAAGCUAAGCACACUGUUGGUUAUGUGUGCCCAAGCAUUGAGGCAGUCAAAGUAGGCAAAUCCGCUUUGAUAAUGCUGGGAUGUGAUGGGGAGCGAAAUUUAGUAGCGAAGUAGCUGAUUUCACACUGUCAAGAAAAGUCUCUAUCGAGGUUAAAGGUACCCGUACCGCAAACCGACACAGGUG
rnacentral:rRNA from 1 species